UACGUAGGGGGCAAGCGUUGUCCGGAAUCAUUGGGCGUAAAGAGCGCGUAGGCGGCCCAGUAAGUCCGCUCUGAAAGUCAGGGGCUCAACCCCUGGAUGCGGGUGGAUACUGCUGGGCUAGAGUCCGGAAGAGGUGAGUGGAAUUCCUGGUGUAGCGGUGAAAUGCGCAGAUAUCAGGAAGAACACCCGUGGCGAAAGCGGCUCUCUGGAACGGUACUGACGCUGAGACGCGAAAGCGUGGGGAGCGAACAGG
rnacentral:rRNA from 1 species